AUAUUGUUUUUUAAAAGCAGGUUUAUUUUUAAUCAGGAUAAUCUCUUAAUGCCCAGCCCCAUGUGAUCUCUUACAUUUGUUUACAGCAGGACACGAGCAGCUCAKGCUGCCACGAUCAGUGCAAAUUGCAGCCCCGAAGUGGGGAAACCGCGGGCCCCUGUGAAGUCUUUUGACUGUUUCAGUUCAUUUAGUCCCUUCAAAGUGGAGRAAUCGCGUGCACACAGAAGAGUUUGGCGGUGCAGACGCUCCUUUUAAUCUCUAAAUAAAGCCUGGCAGCAGAGGAUGAGGUCUAUUAGCUCUAGAAGCUUUAAAGACUGGGGGUGAAGAGACCAUUAGUUCAGCUCCAUAAUGGUGCCAGUGCAUCCUCGGGGUUAUAAAUCAGUCGUGUUCAAACACACACUCAAAUUUUCUUAAUUUGUUUCUUCCAAAGCCAGUAUACAUCUAAAACCUCUGUCAUCUCAAAUCCGGUUGGAAAACCGUGCUCUCUGAAUUUCGGUUUCUAUUCAAAAGAAGCCUGACCUGAGCAUGCAAAAAAAAAAGAAUGAAUAAAAGAAAUGAGCCCCCCCAAGACGCUAAUCAUCUGGUCUCCGAAACAUGUUCUCAUCGCUGUUCUCUAACAGAAAAAUACGUAAACUGAGAACAUGCAGAUAAAUAUGCUGAGCAGCACAAGUCCUUACCAACGGCUUCAUUCGUGCACAGGGAGGCCAGGGAGCAGCAAACGGACACUCGGGUCAAAGCCACGCUUCAUUGGUAAAACAACAUAUUUUUCAUGUGCCAAGAGCACAUGAUGCCCAAGGUGCAGGAUGCCCAGGGCGCACGAUGCUCAGCGUACAGGAUGCCCCAGGGGCACGAUGCCAGGCACACGCGUUCAGCUGAGCUGCCCAGGACCCCGGUGGACAUGCCCGGGGCUCCAGCUUGCCCCCCACACACGGGAGCCCUCCCCUCACCAGCAGCAGGGAUCCCCACGGCCUUGGUGCCUGGGGCUGCCGUCACCAGUGGCACCGCGGCAGGGAUUUGGGCCCUGCACGGGCCGUCACAACCCUGGCCUGAGCAGCACGAAGACAAAACACUGGAGGAUGCCAUGGCCCACCCUGGCAGGGGGAUUUCAAUCACCAAGGGAGUUUUUGCUAAAACAGUUCCUUUAGGCAAAUUAGGCAGGUGGUUUCUAGCUCUCUGAAACUGCAGGUGCUUUCACAGCAUGUCACAGCGGACAGGACCUGAGUGGUGACGGGGCCGGGCUGCAGGGGUCGGGACCGAGCCACACAUCAGGGAGCCGCACACAGCCCCGGCCACCGAGUCAGGAACUUUUCCUGGGYGACAGACACGACGCUUUUCCCUUCCACCCUUCGGAUGUGCUUCAUCAGCUCUGUUGUCCAGUCACUGUUCUUAUUUUCACUUCCUCUCGGCUUCCCUGAUUCACCAGCCCGUCCUCACAUGAUGGGGAGGAAACUCUGAACGGGUGAUGCAAGGGCCCGCAGCCCGGCUCCGGCCUCCCUUGCAGCCUUGGGGAGCUUCAGCAGAAAUCACAAGACCUCGUGAUAACGCAAAUUGUUUGUUCAGAGCAUCCCGGCCCUAGGGCUCGCCUGGCCGCUCCGGCCACCCGAAGGGCCAGCGGAUGCAGUGACGGUCACCUCUUCCCUCCCAGCCCGACGACCCACUGCCUGCGAGGGCAGUGCAGAGGGCACCAAAGGCCAAGGCUGGCUGCACGGUGCAAUACGGGGAAAACUUUGGGACGAAGCAUCACUGGGAGCCGAGGCCAGAGCGAUCUGCCUCUUGCACCCUCCGCUUGUCCUUCGCCCAGCUGAUCUCUGUGGAGGCUGGCGGGACGGCAGAGUUAGGAAGGGGGUGAGCAGCAGGGGCAUGCCGGGGCCCCCUUCUCCUCUGCCGCCCCGCAGAGCCGCCUGCCCCAGGACCGCAGCCCUCUCCCCACGCGUGCACGGCUCUGCCCCGCGCUGGGGCCGUGCCCAGCAGCCCAGCGUUGGUACCCAGCGGUAGCGGCGCCCAGGGCUGCACGAAGGUGCUUUUGCUGGCACGGGAGCCAUCGGGGCAAGAGCCAGAACAGGGGCACCGUGGCACGAUUCCCAGCCUAAGGGGAGCUGGGGCCAGCCAAGAGCAUCCCCRCUGCAGCAGGCAAAGCCCUCACCCGACAGUGGGCAGGGGAGCCAGCACCCGAAGGA
ensembl:lncRNA